UACGUAGGGUGCGAGCGUUGUCCGGAAUUAUUGGGCGUAAAGAGCUCGUAGGCGGUCUGUCGCGUCGAAUGUGAAAACCCGGGGCUCAACUCCGGGCUUGCAUUCGAUACGGGCAGACUAGAGUUCGGUAGGGGAGACUGGAAUUCCUGGUGUAGUGGUGAAAUGCGCAGAUAUCAGGAGGAACACCGGUGGCGAAGGCGGGUCUCUGGGCCGAUACUGACGCUGAGGAGCGAAAGCGUGGGGAGCGAACAGG
rnacentral:rRNA from 1 species